rnacentral:rRNA from 1 species
ACCAGCGGCCAUGUGACCCUGCAACUCACUUCUGACAACCCACUGAAGCUCAGCAGGUGUGAGCCUGGCCAGUACCUGGAUGGGAGACCUCAUGGGAAAAAAUAAGGUUGCUGCUGGAA